rnacentral:rRNA from 1 species
AGUUUGAUCCUGGCUCAGGAUGAACGCUAGCGGCAGGCUUAACACAUGCAAGUCGAGGGGUAUCCUAGCAAUAGGAGAGACCGGCGCACGGGUGCGUAACGCGUAUGCAAUCUACCUUAUACAGGGGGAUAGCCCAGAGAAAUUUGGAUUAAUACCCCAUAGUAUAAUUGAAUGGCAUCAUUUAAUUAUUAAAGUUCCAACGGUAUAAGAUGAGCAUGCGUAUCAUUAGCUAGAUGGUAAGGUAACGGCUUACCAUGGCUACGAUGAUUAGGGGUCCUGAGAGGGAGAUCCCCCACACUGGUACUGAGACACGGACCAGACUCCUACGGGAGGCAGCAGUGAGGAAUAUUGGUCAAUGGGCGCAAGCCUGAACCAGCCAUGCCGCGUGCAGGAAGACGCAUCUAUGGUGUGUAAACUGCUUUUAUACAGGAAGAAACCCUAUCUCGUGAGGUAGAUUGACGGUACUGUAGGAAUAAGGAUCGGCUAACUCCGUGCCAGCAGCCGCGGUAAUACGGAGGAUCCAAGCGUUAUCCGGAAUCAUUGGGUUUAAAGGGUCCGUAGGCGGUUUAAUAAGUCAGUGGUGAAAUCCCAUCGCUCAACGGUGGAACGGCCAUUGAUACUGUUAGACUUGAAUUAUUUGGAAGUAACUAGAAUAUGUAGUGUAGCGGUGAAAUGCUUAGAGAUUACAUGGAAUACCAAUUGCGAAGGCAGGUUACUACAAAUGGAUUGACGCUGAUGGAC